rnacentral:lncRNA from 1 species
UUCUUUCUUUCUUUUUCCAGACAGGGGUUCUCUGUGUAGCCCUGACUGGCCUCGAGGUCCGCCUGCCUCUGCCUCCCGAGUGCUGGGAUUAAAGGCGUGCGCCACCACCUCCCGGCCUCCAUUUCUUGUUUACACUCGGUUUUAAGGCAGUUUUCGGUUCCCUCUGUCCCCGAGUCAACAGGAUAUGUCACAAGAGCUUUUAUCAAAGGCACCACCACCUCACAGACACACGACUAAGAAAUCACUCCAAUCUGUUAGACUAUUGCCCUGGAGAGAGGUAUUGGGGGAUGUAUUUGGGCACAGAAGUAACUGAAUUUCCUGAUGGACUGGAUAUGGAGGCAGGGAGAAGAUGAAGAGAGGGAUGAAUUCCAGGGACAAAGAGUUAAUUACUUUGGUUUAUAGUACCAGAGGGAUAGAGUUCAUGGUGGCAGGGAAGACAUGGCAGCGGACGUGGAAAGCUUGGUGGCAGGUACAGGAACCUGGCUCAUUAGACUGCAUCCACAUUCAGGAAGC